rnacentral:rRNA from 1 species
GAUGAACGCUGGCGGCGUGCUUAACACAUGCAAGUCGAACGAAAAGACGCGGCGCUUGUCCGUCGGACGUUAGCGGCGGGCGUGAGAGAAACACGAGUAUCACGUCCUUGUAAGACAGGGAUCAUUAGGGGAAACAGGAGCUAAUACGGUAUAAUAUAUUGAACCGCGGGGGUCAAUAGUGAGAGACGGUGGUGCUGGCACUUAUAGAUGGGUCCGCGCCGCAUUAGCUAGUUGGUAAGGUAACGGCUUACCAAGGGGACGAUGCGUAGCCGACCUGAGAGGGUGACCGGCCACACUGGAACUGAGACACGGUCCAGACUCCUACGGGAGGCAGCAGUAGGGAAUCUUCCGCAAUGGGCGAAAGCCUGACGGAGCAACGCCGCGUGAGUGAUGAAGGUCUUCGGGUCGUAAAACUCUGUUAUUAGGGACGAACCGAUGUGGAAGUAACUAUGGAGGUAUUGACGGUACCGAAUCAAAAAGCCCCGGCUAACUACGUG